CAUAUCCUUAAAUGGUUCUUGACAGACCCAAGGGUCCAACCAAAAUCGGAUACUAUUCCGGACUUAUAUUCAAUCCCUUUACGUGUUUUGAUUAUAGAGAAAAUGUGUCUUCAAAGGAAAACGCGUGACAGAUAAAGUGCGUGGUUCAAUUUAUCAAGCAACGUACACUAAAGAAGAUCAAAAGAUAGUGAGAUUUAACUAG